AGUGAACGCUGGCGGUAGGCCUAACACAUGCAAGUCGAACGGCAGCACAGUAAGAGCUUGCUCUUACGGGUGGCGAGUGGCGGACGGGUGCGGAAUACAUCGGAAUCUACUUUUUCGUGGGGGAUAACGUAGGGAAACUUACGCUAAUACCGCAUACGACCUACGGGUGAAAGCAGGGGAUCUUCGGACCUUGCGCGAUUGAAUGAGCCGAUGUGGGAUUAGCUAGUUGGCGGGGUAAAGGCCUACCAAGGCGGGGAUCCGUGGCUGGUGUGAGAGUAUGGACCGGCACACUGGAACUGAGACACCGUACAGACUCCUACGGGAGGCAGCAGUGGGGAAUGUUGGACAAUGGGCGCAAUCCUGAUCCAGCCAUACCGCGUGGGUGAAGAAGGCCUUCGGGUUGUAAAGCCCUUUUGUUGGGGAAGAAAAGCAGCAGGUUAAUACACCGCUUUUCUGACGGUACCCAAAGAAUAAGCACCGGCUAACUACGUG
rnacentral:rRNA from 1 species